rnacentral:rRNA from 1 species
GAUGAACGCUGGCGGCGUGCCUAAUACAUGCAAGUCGAGCGAACAGAUGAGGAGCUUGCUCCUCUGACGUUAGCGGCGGACGGGUGAGUAACACGUGGAUAACCUACCUAUAAGACUGGGAUAACUUCGGGAAACCGGAGCUAAUACCGGAUAAUAUAUUGAACCGCAUGGUUCAAUAGUGAAAGACGGUUUUGCUGUCACUUAUAGAUGGAUCCGCGCCGCAUUAGCUAGUUGGUAAGGUAACGGCUUACCAAGGCAACGAUGCGUAGCCGACCUGACAGGGUGAUCGGCCACACUGGAACUGAGACACGGUCCAGACUCCUAAGGGAGGCAGCAGUAGGGAAUCUUCCGCAAUGGGCGAAAGCCUGACGGAGCAACGCCGCGUGAGUGAUGAAGGUCUUCGGAUCGUAAAACUCUGUUAUUAGGGAAGAACAAAUGUGUAAGUAACUAUGCACGUCUUGACGGUACCUAAUCAGAAAGCCACGGCUAACUACGUG